AUGGGGUCCUGGCUCUCUUCCCCGGCCGCCGACGCCGAGGCUGACGCCGCCGCUGUCGGCUUCCGUUCCCAUGCCCGCCAGGCAAAACAGCGUCGCGACGCCAGCCAUGCUCGCAUAUACACCCUCUUCGCCCUCGGCCAUUACAACUCCAGGAACAAGGAUGCUAUGUUCGAGCCUGCCGCGGAGCCCGUGGAAGAACCCAAGGCCGCAUGCGUCGGUUUCAGGCAAGAUUUCUGGUACCAUGUCGGCUUUUGGGCUCGCCGGAGGGACGCCGCCACCGACGAGGAGCAACAAUACUUCUUUGCCGAACUACGCUUUGAGCGCCGCACCAGACGUCUAGUCGUUGAAACAUGCGCUCUCUUGGAAAAGCCGCUCUGUCGUUUCAAAAGCAGCUGUGCGUUUUGCCCGGACAAAUUUCAGAUUUUCCACCCAAGCUGCGCGGAGUUUACAUGUGGAAAGAAGAGGCACAGAAGGAAAUUCUUCAGGGAGAGAGAGAUGCUUGGCAGGGCUUUCAUGCUUAGACACGCUCAACAACACAAAACCUUUAGCUAG
rnacentral:rRNA from 1 species